rnacentral:lncRNA from 1 species
CUAACCUAACCUAACUUACCUUAAUUGGUCUCUCACUUGGGUUCUAUUUUCUGUCUCCUCUCUAGUGCCUCUAAGAAGAACUCUCGCUACCUUCUCUUUGUGAUUCCCGUUUCUGCUCAUUCUCGAUUUUCUUCCUUGUGUAACCUUUGUGGUUUAUCUUGGGUGAUAUUAAUCUUCUCUUGGCUAUCACUUUGUGGGUAUGAAUAGCAACCGUGAGUGGGAGAAAGGAAGAAGGGCGUUUGGUGUUGUCUCGAUUGGGUGGUGUUGAUUUGGUUCGAAACUGAGCUCAGUAUCACCUUGAUAUUGGUGGGUUUUCUCUUAACAUCAACC